rnacentral:rRNA from 1 species
UACGGGGGGGGUAAGCGUUGUUCGGAAUUACUGGGCGUAAAGGGCUCGUAGGCGGCCAACUAAGUCGGACGUGAAAUCCCUCAGCUUAACUGGGGAACUGCGUCCGAUACUGGAUGGCUUGGAUUUGGGAGAGGUAAGCGGAAUUCCUGGUGUAGCGGUGAAAUGCGUAGAUAUCAGGAGGAACACCUGUGGUGUAGACAGCUUACUGGACCAUUUCUGACGCUGAGACACGAAAGCGUGGGUAGCAAACAGG